rnacentral:rRNA from 1 species
UCCAGAGGAAGGCUCGUCCGCUCUGGGUUAGUCGGGUCCUAAGCUGAGGCCGACAGGCGUAGGCGAUGGAUAACAGGUUGAUAUUCCUGUACCACCUAGUAUCGUUUUAAUUGAUGGGGGGACGCAGUAGGAUAGGCGAAGCGUGCUGUUGGAGUGCACGUCCAAGCAGUAAGGCUGAGUGUUAGGCAAAUCCGGCACUCAUAAGGCUGAGCUGUGAUGGGGA